GAUGAACGCUAGCGGCAGGCCUAACACAUGCAAGUCGAGGGGCAUCAUGGCGUAGCAAUACGCUGAUGGCGACCGGCGCACGGGUGCGUAACGCGUAUGGAACCUACCCACCGCAGGGGGAUAACCCGCCGAAAGGCGGACUAAUACCCCAUGGUUCCCCGACCCUGCCUGGGGUUGGGGGUAAAGCCUACGGGCGGCGGUGGAUGGCCCUGCGUGCCAUUAGCUGGCUGGUGGGGUAACGGCCCACCAGGGCGACGAUGGCUAGGGGGUCUGAGAGGACGAUCCCCCACACUGGUACUGAGACACGGACCAGACUCCUACGGGAGGCAGCAGUGAGGAAUAUUGGUCAAUGGGCGGAAGCCUGAACCAGCCAUGCCGCGUGCAGGAUGACGGCCCUACGGGUUGUAAACUGCUUUUCCCGGGGCGAAUAACCCCUCGCGAGGGGAGUGCCGGUACCGGGGAAGUAAGGAGUCGGCUAACUCCGUGCCAGCAGCCGCGGUAACUCGUCUCUA
rnacentral:rRNA from 1 species